rnacentral:rRNA from 1 species
AUGGCUUUAGUUAGAAAAUAUGGAAAGCCAGACGUAUUCCUAACAAUGACCUGCAACCCCAACUGGGAAGAGAUCACACGUGAACUAGAGACUGGACAAACACCACAAGAUCGCCCAGACAUUGUCGUUCGUGUUUUCAGGGCAAAGCUACAAGAAAUGAAGAAGGAACUAUUUGAGAAGGGAAUUAUUGGAAAGGUUCAGGCAUAUACAUAUGUCGUAGAGUUCCAAAAGAGGGGAUUACCCCAUGCUCACUUUUUCCUCAUCAUGACUGGAAAAUACAAGUACACAUGUCCAGAACAGUAUGACAGAAUCAUCUCCGCCGAGCUCCCUAACAAGCACAAUUGCGAACUAGAUAACAGGUGGGUGGUUCCUUACAAUCCCUAUCUGUUAAGGAUGUUCAACUGCCACAUAAAUGUUGAGAUAUGCGCAAGCAUUAAAGCCAUAAAGUACCUCUUCAAGUACAUCUACAAGGGUCAUGACCGGGCGUCUGUAUCUGUAACAGACAAAGUGGACGAAGUAGAAAUCGACGAGAUUAAGCAGUACAGAGACGCACGGUGGGUGACACCUCCUGAAGCACUAUGGAGAAUAUAU